rnacentral:rRNA from 1 species
AUUGAACGCUGGCGGCAGGCCUAACACAUGCAAGUAGAGCGGAGCGACUGACGGGUGAGUAAGUCCUAGGCAUCUGCCUUGUAUCGUGGGAUAAAGUCCGGAAACGGGCGCUAAUACCGCAUACUAUUAGAUUCGCCUAGGUCGUAUUAGCUAGUUGGUGGGGUAAAGGCCUACCAAGGCGACGAUCCGUAACUGGUCUGAGAGGAUGAUCAGUCACACUGGGACUGAGACACGGUCCAGACUCCUACGGGAGGCAGCAGUGGGUAAUUGUGGACAAUGGGCGAAAGCCUGAUCCAGCAAUGCCGCGUGAGUGAAGAAGGUCUUCGGAUUGUAAAGCUCUUUAAGUAGGGAGGCGUUACCAACAGAAUAAGCACCGGCUAACUUCGUGCCAGCAGCCGCGGUAAUUC